rnacentral:rRNA from 1 species
GUAGGGUGCGAGCGUUAAUCGGAAUUACUGGGCGUAAAGCGUGCGCAGGCGGUUUGUUAAGACAGGCGUGAAAUCCCCGGGCUCAACCUGGGAACUGCGCUUGUGACUGGCAGGCUAGAGUACGGCAGAGGGGGGUGGAAUUCCACGUGUAGCAGUGAAAUGCGUAGAGAUGUGGAGGAACACCAAUGGCGAAGGCAGCCCCCUGGGUCGAUACUGACGCUCAUGCACGAAAGCGUGGGUAGCAAACAGGAUUAGAUACCCUGGUAGUCCACGCCCUAAACGAUGUCAACUAGGUGUUGGAUGGGUAAAACCAUUUAGUACCGGAGCUAACGCGUGAAGUUGACCGCCUGGGGAGUACGGCCGCAAGGUUA